GAGGAAAAGAAACCAACAGGGAUUGCCCCAGUAACGGCGAGUGAAGCGGCAACAGCUCAAAUUUGUAAUCCGGCGUGAGCCCGAGUUGUAAUUUGCAGGAGGAUGCUUCGACCCAGCUGCCUAGGCCCAAGUGCCCUGGAAAGGGACGCCGUGGAGGGUGAUAGCCCCGUCGCCGGCCGUCUGGCGUGGGAUCAAGGAAGCUCCCUCGACGAGUCGAGUUGUUUGGGAAUGCAGCUCCAAAGCGGGAGGUAAAUUCCUUCCAAAGCUAAAUACCGGCCAAGGACCGAUAGCGCACAAGUAGAGUGAUCGAAAGAUGAAAAGCACUUUGGAAAGAGAGUCAAAAAGUACGUGAAACUGUUGAGAGGGAAGCGUUUGCGGUCAGACGCGCGGGGGGAUGGGCUCACCCCAUCCUUCGCUGGUAGGGGCACACUCCCUCCCCCCGCGAGCCAGCAUCGGCUCGGACGGCGGCAGGAGCCGGUCGGGAAUGUUACUCCCCCGCGGAGUGUUAUAGCCCGGCCGGACCCUUCCGGCCGCCCGCCCGGGCCGAGGUGUCCUCACAGGCGCGUCCCCUGCCCCCUGGGCAAGGCGCCCCGAUGUUGGCGUAAUGGCCGUAAGCGGCCCGUCUUGAAACACGGACCAAGGAGUCCAACGUCCGCGCGAGUGUGUGGGUGUCAAGCCCGCGCGCGAAAUGAAGGUGAACGAAGGUGGGAAGCCGUCGACCCGGGCCCCCUGUCGCGGUGUGUCCGGGAGGCGGCCGCACCAUCGACCGAUCCUGAUGUCCUCGGAUGGAUUUGAGUGGGAGCGCGGCCGCUGGGACCCGAAAGAUGGUGAACUAUGCCUGCUUAGGCUGAAGUCAGGGGAAACCCUGAUGGAAGGUCGCAGCGGUUCUGACGUGCAAAUCGAUCGUCAAAAGUGGGUAUAGGGGCGAAAGACUAAUCGAACCAUCUAGUAGCUGGUUCACACGA
rnacentral:rRNA from 1 species